AGACCCGAAACCCGGUGAUCUAGCCAUGGGCAGGUUGAAGGUUGGGUAACACUAACUGGAGGACCGAACCGACUAAUGUUGAAAAAUUAGCGGAUGACUUGUGGCUGGGGGUGAAAGGCCAAUCAAACCGGGAGAUAGCUGGUUCUCCCCGAAAGCUAUUUAGGUAGCGCCUCGUGAAUUCAUCUCCGGGGGUAGAGCACUGUUUCGGCAAGGGGGUCAUCCCGACUUACCAACCCGAUGCAAACUGCGAAUACCGGAGAAUGUUAUCACGGGAGACACACGGCGGGUGCUAACGUCCGUCGUGAAGAGGGAAACAACCCAGACCGCCAGCUAAGGUCCCAAAGUCAUGGUUAAGUGGGAAACGAUGUGGGAAGGCCCAGACAGCCAGGAUGUUGGCUUAGAAGCAGCCAUCAUUUAAAGAAAGCGUAAUAGCUCACUGGUCGAGUCGGCCUGCGCGGAAGAUGUAACGGGGCUAAACCAUGCACCGAAGCUGCGGCAGCGACACUGUGUGUUGUUGGGUAGGGGAGCGUUCUGUAAGCCUGUGAAGGUGUG
rnacentral:rRNA from 1 species